GACGAACCGUACAAACGUUAUUCGGAAUUACUGGGCUUAAAGGGUGCGUAGGCGGCCCGGAAAGGUGGGUGUGAAAUACCUCGGCUCAACCGAGGAACGGCGCUCAAGACUACCGGGCUUGAGGAAGAUAGAGGUGAGCGGAACUUAGGGUGGAGCGGUGAAAUGCGUUGAUAUCCUAAGGAACACCGGUAGCGAAAGCGGCUCACUGGGUCUUCUCUGACGCUGAGGCACGAAAGCUAGGGGAGCGAAGAGG
rnacentral:rRNA from 1 species